rnacentral:rRNA from 1 species
GAUGAACGCUGGCGGCGUGCCUAAUACAUGCAAGUCGAGCGAACGGACGAGAAGCUUGCUUCUCUGAUGUUAGCGGCGGACGGGUGAGUAACACGUGGAUAACCUACCUAUAAGACUGGGAUAACUUCGGGAAACCGGAGCUAAUACCGGAUAAUAUUUUGAACCGCAUGGUUCAAAAGUGAAAGACGGUCUUGCUGUCACUUAUAGAUGGAUCCGCGCUGCAUUAGCUAGUUGGUAAGGUAACGGCUUACCAAGGCAACGAUGCAUAGCCGACCUGAGAGGGUGAUCGGCCACACUGGAACUGAGACACGGUCCAGACUCCUACGGGAGGCAGCAGUAGGGAAUCUUCCGCAAUGGUUGAAAGCCUGACGGAGCAACGCCGCGUGAGUGAUGAAGGUCUUCGGAUCGUAAAACUCUGUUAUUAGGGAAGAACAUAUGUGUAAGUAACUGUGCACAUCUUGACGGUACCUAAUCAGAAAGCCACGGCUAACUACGUG